rnacentral:ncRNA from 1 species
UAGUAAGAUCCCUGAAAGAUGAUCAGGUAGAUAGGUUCGAGGUGGAAGCGUGGCGACACGUGGAGCUGACGAAUACUAAUCGAUCGAGGACUUAACCAA